rnacentral:rRNA from 1 species
UAGGGAAUAUUAGUAAUGGGCGAAAGCCUGAACUAGCAACACCGCGUGUGCGAAGAAGGCCUUCGGGUUGUAAAGCACUUUUUGAGAGGAUGAGGAAGGACGGUACUCUCAGAAUAAGUCUCGGCUAACUACGUGCCAGCAGCCGCGGUAACACGUAGGAGGCAAACGUUAUCCGGAUUUACUGGGCGUAAAGCGCGUGUAGGUGGUUUGGUAAGUAGAGCGUGAAAGCUCCUGGCUCAACUGGGAGGGGCCGUUCUAAACUACAGAACUAGAGGAUGGUAGAGGGAGGUGGAAUUCCAGGUGUAGCGGUGGAAUGCGCAGAUAUCUGGAGGAACACCAGUGGCGAAGGCGGCCUCCUGGACCAUUCCUGACACUCAGACGCGAAAGCUAGGGUAGCAAACG